rnacentral:rRNA from 1 species
AUUGAACGCUGGCGGCAGGCCUAACACAUGCAAGUCGAGCGGAUGAAGGGAGCUUGCUCCUGGAUUCAGCGGCGGACGGGUGAGUAAUGCCUAGGAAUCUGCCUGGUAGUGGGGGAUAACGUCCGGAAACGGGCGCUAAUACCGCAUACGUCCUGAGGGAGAAAGUGGGGGAUCUUCGGACCUCACGCUAUCAGAUGAGCCUAGGUCGGAUUAGCUAGUUGGUGGGGUAAAGGCCUACCAAGGCGACGAUCCGUAACUGGUCUGAGAGGAUGAUCAGUCACACUGGAACUGAGACACGGUCCAGACUCCUACGGGAGGCAGCAGUGGGGAAUAUUGGGCAAUGGGCGAAAGCCUGAUCCAGCCAUGCCGCGUGUGUGAAGAAGGUCUUCGGAUUGUAAAGCACUUUAAGUUGGGAGGAAGGGCAGUAAGUUAAUACCUUGCUGUUUUGACGUUACCAACAGAAUAAGCACCGGCUAACUUCGAG